ACUAUGACCAGGUGGUGACGUAACAUGGGGAAUCCGAGAUGGGGGAAACUCAGUUCGGGUGCUCAUUUUAGCCUGGGGAGCACAAUAAAGGUGGUCACCCUUUUCGGGGUUGGAAUAUAUUCAAGUGACAGAUGUCACACUUGUCCUGGGAGUUCUGACUGCUUUCAUCUUAUGGACCUAUUACCAAGACCACCUGCUCCCUCUCCUUACGAAUGAGAGAAGUGUGACAUGCAGUCAACUGGAGACAGUGAUGCCAGACAUCUGCCAACCAUGAGGGGGCUCUGUUUAAUGAAGACUUGCCUCCACAUCAAUGAGGAUGUGCCCUGGAAUUUCAUCAAGUGAGCAUAACAACAAAAGGCAUACUGAUGGCAUCUUAGCUUCUGACCUGCCUCUGUUCUACACAUCACCACAACUUAUGUGUUGCGCAUUUCCAAUA